CUAAUAAACCAUUAGGAUUCGAACUCAGAAUGCUUAAAUAUCGCUUGAUAAUUAAAUUACCAAUGUAUAAACAUAAUAAACCUAGGACAUAAAAAAGGAUUAGAUACCCUUGUAUACCUAAGGCUAAACCUUAGUCUGGUUAGUAACAGUUACACCCUCCAAAACCAAAGAAUUUGGCGGUACUCAAAUCUAGUUAGAGGAACUUGUGCCAUAAAUGAUACACCGCAAAUAUCUCACUUCACUUUGUAAAUACAGUUCGUAUACCGUCAUUCUUAUGGUGGCCCCAGAAGGGGCUAUCAAAACAGACUACCCGUCUUACAUAUUAGAUCAAGGUGCGGCUUAUAGUGAACUUGUAGGUCAUGAGUUACAAUUUUUAUAUAAAAACUACGGAUUAUUAAAUGAAAAUAUUCUAAGAAGGCGGAUUUAACUGUAAAUCAAGAAAAUUACUCUCGAUUGAAUCAGCAAUUGAGUAUGUACAAAUCGCCCGUCGCCCUCGCCC
rnacentral:rRNA from 1 species